rnacentral:misc_RNA from 1 species
UUAGUUUGACAAGGGGAGUAGCCUCCUCCAAACAUAGCAGCAAUGUUAUGUGUCAGAUAUCGUCAAUACACUUUUAUUAAAAAGUCGGUAUCUGAGCAUCAUGAAAUUCAUGAUGUAGGCAAGACCUUGAUCAUGUUG